rnacentral:rRNA from 1 species
ACAUUCACUUUAAAUAGGGCUCCGUCUAAAUCCGUUGAGACGACAUCGUAUGAAUUAUGGUUUGGGAAGAAACCUAAGCUGUCGUUUCUAAAAGUUUGGGGAUGCGAUGCUUAUGUCAAGAAACUUCAACCUGAAAAGCUCGAACCCAAGUCGGAAAAAUGCGUCUUCAUAGGAUACCCUAAGGAAACCAUUGGGUAUACCUUCUACCUUAGAUCCGAAGGCAAGAUCUUUGUUGCCAAGAACGGAUCCUUUCUGGAAAAAGAGUUUCUCUCAAAAGGAGUAAGUGGGAGGAAAGUAGAACUCGAUGAAGUACUACCUCUUGAACCGGAAAGUAGUGCAGCUCAGGAAAAUGUUCCUAUGGUGCCUACACCGACUGGAGAGGAAAUUAAU